rnacentral:rRNA from 1 species
ACACAGCACUCUGCAAACACGAAAGUGGACGUAUAGGGUGUGACGCCUGCCCGGUGCCGGAAGGUUAAUUGAUGGGGUUAGCGCAAGCGAAGCUCUUGAUCGAAGCCCCGGUAAACGGCGGCCGUAACUAUAACGGUCCUAAGGUAGCGAAAUUCCUUGUCGGGUAAGUUCCGACCUGCACGAAUGGCGUAACGAUGGCGGCGCUGUCUCCACCCGAGACUCAGUGAAAUUGAAAUCGCUGUGAAGAUGCAGUGUAUCCGCGGCUAGACGGAAAGACCCCGUGAACCUUUACUGUAGCUUUGCACUGGACUUUGAGCCUGCUUGUGUAGGAUAGGUGGGAGGCUUUGAAGCGUGGACGCCAGUUCGCGUGGAGCCAUCCUUGAAAUACCACCCUGGCAUGCUUGAGGUUCUAACUCUGGUCCGUAAUCCGGAUCGAGGACAGUGUAUGGUGGGCAGUUUGACUGGGGCGGUCUCCUCCUAAAGAGUAACGGAGGAGUACGAAGGUGCGCUCAGACCGGUCGGAAAUCGGUCGCAGAGUAUAAAGGCAAAAGCGCGCUUGACUGCGAGACAGACACGUCGAGCAGGUACGAAAGUAGGUCUUAGUGAUCCGGUGGUUCUGUAUGGAAGGGCCAUCGCUCAACGGAUAAAAGGUACUCCGGGGAUAACAGGCUGAUACCGCCCAAGAGUUCAUAUCGACGGCGGUGUUUGGCACCUCGAUGUCGGCUCAUCACAUCCUGGGGCUGAAGCCGGUCCCAAGGGUAUGGCUGUUCGCCAUUUAAAGUGGUACGCGAGCUGGGUUUAGAACGUCGUGAGACAGUUCGGUCCCUAUCUGCCGUGGACGUUUGAGAUUUGAGAGGGGCUGCUCCUAGUACGAGAGGACCGGAGUGGACGAACCUCUGGUGUUCCGGUUGUCACGCCAGUGGCAUUGCCGGGUAGCUAUGUUCGGAAAAGAUAACCGCUGAAAGCAUCUAAGCGGGAAACUUGCCUCAAGAUGAGAUCUCACUGGGAACUUGAUUCCCCUGAAGGGCCGUCGAAGACUACGACGUUGAUAGGCUGGGUGUGUAAGCGUUGUGAGGCGUUGAGCUAACCAGUACUAAUUGCCCGUGAGGCUUGACCAU